rnacentral:rRNA from 1 species
UUGGGCGUAAGAGUCCGUAGGUAGUCAUCCAAGUCUGCUGUUAAAGAGCGAGGCUUAACCUCGUAAAGGCAGUGGAAACUGGAAGACUAGAGUGUAGUAGGGGCAGAGGGAAUUCCUGGUGUAGCGGUGAAAUGCGUAGAGAUCGGGAAGAACACCGGUGGCGAAGGCGCUCUGCUGGGCUAUAACUGACACUGAGGGACGAAAGCUAGGGGAGCGAAUGGGAUUAGAUACCCCAGUAGUCCUAGCGGUAAACGAUGGAAACUAGGUGUGGCCUGUAUCGACCCGGGCCGUGCCGAAGCAAACGCGUUAAGUUUCCCGCCUGGGGAGUACGCACGCAAGUGUGAAACUCAAAGGAAUUGACGGGGGCCCGCACAAGCGGUGGAGUAUGUGGUUUAAUUCGAUGCAACGCGAAGAACCUUACCAGGACUUGACAUCUCUGGAAUCUCCUUGAAAGGGGAGAGUGCCGUAAGGAACCAGAAGACAGGUGCUGCAUGGCUGUCGUCAGCUCGUGUCGUGAGAUGUUGGGUUAAGUCCCGCAACGAGCGCAACCCUCGUCGUUAGUUGCCAUCAUUAAGUUGGGAACUCUAGCGAGACUGCCGGUGACAAACCGGAGGAAGGUGAGGAUGACGUCAAGUCAGCAUGGCCCUUACGUCCUGGGCGACACACGUACUACAAUGCGAGGGACAGAGAGCAGCCAACCCGCGAGGGAGAGCGAAUCUCAUAAACCCUGGCACAGUUCAGAUUGCAGGCUGCAACCCGCCUGCAUGAAUGGAGGAAUCGCUAGUAAUCGC